AUGCAGGAGCAUACAACCAAAGCACUCCCAAGAGAUGAUCCUCCAACCUGUUGUCGAAGGCUUUCAUGGCCAGGAUCACAGGGUUGUUGUAUGUCUUUCGGGCUGUGUGGCCAUGUUCCAGAAGCAUUCUCUCCUGACGUUUCGCCCACAUCUAUGGCAGGCAUCCUCAGAGGUUGUGAGGUAUUGGGCCACACAGUUUACAGAAAACCUACACAUACAGAUAGAUACCUUCAUAAAAACUCCAACCAUCACCCAAGUCAAAAAAGGAGCACAAUCAAAGCCCUGACAGACUGUGCACAAAGAAUCUGCGAACCUCACCUCCUCCAAGGUGAACUCAACCACCUAAACUGGGCUCUACAGGCCAAUGGAUACUCCACCACAGACAUCAGAAGAGCUGCAAGGCGAAGAACGAGCCAUGAGAGUCAAGACAAAGAUCCACCCAGAGGAAAGGUGUUCUUACCAUACAUCAAGGGAACUACUGACCGCAUAGGGAAGCUGAUGAAGAAGCACAACCUACAAACUAUCUACAGACCCACGAAGAAAAUCCAACAAAUGCUACGGUCAGCGAAGGACAAGAGGGAUCCUCUCUCUUCUGCAGGAGUCUACCGGAUACCAUGCAGCUGUGGACAAGUCUACAUAGGGACCACCAAACGCAGCGCCCAAACAAGAGUCAAAGAACAUGAAAGGCACUGCAGACUAAUUCAACCAGAGAACUCAGCCAUAGCAGAGCAUUUGAUGAACCAGCCUGGACACAGAAUACUAUUUGAGAACACAAAAAUGCUGGACCAUUCUAACAACUAUCAUGUCAGACUACACAGAGAAGCCAUUGAAAUCCACAAGCAUGUGGACAACUUCAACAGAAAGGAAGAAACCAUGAAAAUGAACAAAAUCUGGCUACCAGUAUUAAAAAACUCAAAAAUCAGAACAAUAAAUAAAAAGCAAUACUCUGAAAACAGAGGAUUUCCAGACAUGAAUCAACCUAGGGCAGUUAACGACUCUAAACAAAGGAUGCCCCAGAGGCAGGAAGAAGACAGCAGAUAA
rnacentral:lncRNA from 1 species